GACGUAGGUGGCGAACGUUAUCCGGAAUUAUUGGGCGUAAAGGGUGCGUAGGCGGCAUGAUAAGUUAUUGGCGGGAAAUCGAGGCUCAACCUCGUGGAAACUAAUAAUACUGUUUUGCUUGAGUACAGGAGAGGUUAACGGAACUCCAUGUGGAGCGGUAAAAUGCGUAGAGAUCGGAAAGAACACCAACGGCGAAAGCACUCUGCUGGGCCGACACUGACACUGAGAGACGAAAGCUAGGGGAGCGAAUGGG
rnacentral:rRNA from 1 species